UACGUAGGGUGCAAGCGUUAAUCGGAGUUACUGGGCGUAAAGCGUGCGUAGGCGGUUGUCUAAGUUUGGUGUGAAAUCUCCCGCUUAACUGGGAGGGUGCGCCGAAAACUGGGUGACUGGAGUGUCGGAGAGGUAAGCGGAAUUCCUGGUGUAGCGGUGAAAUGCGUAGAGAUCAGGAGGAACACCUGUGGUGUAGACAGCUUACUGGACGAUAACUGACGCUGAGGCACGAAAGCGUGGGUAGCAAACAGG
rnacentral:rRNA from 1 species